rnacentral:misc_RNA from 1 species
AUGGUUGAAGAUGAUCGAUCAAGAUGCUUGAGUUUGAGUAGCCUCCUGAGCCUUCUGCUGGACAUAUUGCCCAUAUUCCUUAGCUCUCUCUUUCAUAUCGUGGGCCUUUCUUGCUAUCUGCCUUCUCGCAUAAUCCAGCUUAUCCGCGCCAGGUGGGUGCUUCCCUGUCAAGUAAUUAUACAUCCAAGUUAAUGCCAUUAUCGCCAUCAACCCACACCCACCUGAGAAAAAGAACCCAGUGGUGACCAGGAACACCACUAUCCCUGCUGGGACUAAAACGGAACUACAAAGCACCAGAAUUGGGGUGGACACGAUCAGAGCUAUGACUGUCCCAGUUAAAGUCAACCCUGACAAGAGCAAGAAAGUUGCACCUAUCAUGGCAGCGGUGAGGAAUUUGACCGUCGGGUGGGAGGAUCGCGGUGGCUCACGGACCAGUUGGGAAACUGGUCUUGAUUGAUCAGACAUAAUGGGCGACGAAAGGAGGAGUAGUUUGGGUUAAUUGUCGGGGAGGGGAAGCAGGGGAUGAGAGUUAUAUAUAAUAAGGAGUGGAGGUGGAGGUGCGGGAUAAU